rnacentral:rRNA from 1 species
AGCAGCCGCGGUAAUUCCAGCUCCAAUAGCGUAUAUUAAAGUUGUUGCAGUUAAAAAGCUCGUAGUUGAAUUUCGGGAUUGACACAUCGGUCGUGCCCUAAGGGGUAUGAACUGGUGUAGUCAAUUUCUCACCUUCUGGAGAACCGCGAUGCCCUUAAUUGGGUGUCACGGGGAACCAGGACCUUUACUUUGAAAAAAUUAGAGUGUUUAAAGCAGGCAUUUUGCUUGAAUACAUUAGCAUGGAAUAAUAAAAUAGGACGGCAUGAUUCUAUUUUGUUGGUUUCUAGGAUCACCGUAAUGAUUAAUAGGGAUAGUUGGGGGCAUUAGUAUUCAAUUGUCAGAGGUGAAAUUCUUGGAUUUAUUGAAGACUAACUACUGCGAAAGCAUUUGCCAAGGAUGUUUUCAUUAAUCAAGAACGAAAGUUAGGGGAUCGAAGACGAUCAGAUACCGUCGUAGUCUUAACCAUAAACUAUGCCGACUAGGGAUCGGAUGAUGUUAAUUUUUAAUGACUCAUUCGGCG